GAGUCGAUAUUAGAACCUUAUAUUAUCUGAAGAGAGGUGAUGACAUAAAAUCAUGCUCAAUGGGAUUACGCUGGGAGGC